AAUAUUGGACAAUGGGGACAACCCUUAUCCAGUCAUGCCGCGGGCGUGAAUAAGGGCUUCGAAGUGUAAAGCACUUUAAUGUUGGAGGUAGGGCUUUAGGUUAAUACUCUGAAUAUUUUACGUUACCAACAGAAUAAGUACCGGCGAACUCUGUGAGUGCAGCCGAGGUAACACAGUGGUUGCAAGCGUUAAUCGGAAUUACUGGGCGUAAUGCGCGAGUAAGUGGUUCAGUAAGAUGGGUGUGAAAUCCCCGGGCUUAACCUGGGAACUGCUUUCAUAACUGCUGAGCUAGAGUAAGGUAGAGGGUAGUGGAAUUUCCUGUGUAGCGGUGAAAUGCGUAGAUAUAAGAAGGAACACCAGUGGCGAAGGCGACUACCUGGACUGAUACUGACACUGAGGUGCGAAAGCGUGGGGAGCAAAC
rnacentral:rRNA from 1 species